rnacentral:rRNA from 1 species
UGGGAAAGAUUCAUCGGUAUGGGAUGGGGUCGCGUCCUAUCAGCUUGAUGGCGGGGUAACGGCCCACCAUGGCUUCGACGGGUAGCCGGCCUGAGAGGGCGACCGGCCACAUUGGGACUGAGAUACGGCCCAGACUCCUACGGGAGGCAGCAGUGGGGAAUAUUGCACAAUGGGCGCAAGCCUGAUGCAGCGACGCCGCGUGCGGGAUGACGGCCUUCGGGUUGUAAACCGCUUUUGACUGGGAGCAAGCCCUUCGGGGUGAGUGUACCUUUCGAAUAAGCACCGGCUAACUACGUGCCAGCAGCCGCGGUAAUACGUAGGGUGCAAGCGUUAUCCGGAAUUAUUGGGCGUAAAGGGCUCGUAGGCGGUUCGUCGCGUCCGGUGUGAAAGUCCAUCGCUUAACGGUGGAUCCGCGCCGGGUACGGGCGGG